rnacentral:rRNA from 1 species
CCUACGGGAGGCUGCAGUGGGGAAUAUUGCACAAUGGGGGAAACCCUGAUGCAGCGACGCCGCGUGAGUGAAGAAGUAUCUCGGUACGUAAAGCUCUAUCAGCAGGGAAGAAAAUGACGGUACCUGACUCAGAAGCCCCGGCUAACUACGUGCCAGCAGCCGCGGUAAUACGUAGGGGGCAAGCGUUAUCCGGAUUUACUGGGUGUAAAGGGAGCGUAGACGGCAGCACAAGUCUGGAGUGAAAUACCGGGGCUGAACCCCCGCACUGCUUUGGAAACUGUGCGGCUGGAGUGCAGGAGGGGUAAGCGGAAUUCCUAGUGUAGCGGUGAAAUGCGUAGAUAUUAGGAGGAACACCGGUGGCGAAGGCGGCUUACUGGACUGUAACUGACGUUGAGGCUCGAAAGCGUGGGGAGCAAACAGGAUUAGAUACCCCAGUAGUC